CUGACCUUAGCUCAGUUGGUAGAGUGGUGGACUGUAGUUGGACUAAAUCUAAAUUGGAAAUCCUUAAGUCGCUGGUUUGAUUCCGGCAGGUUGGA
rnacentral:tRNA from 1 species